GGCCGUGAUUGUCCAAACGCAAUUCUUGUCUCUCCGCCUGAGAGUUGAGUCUGGACAUCGCGAGCC